CAAUGUUAUAAAAUCCUACGAGAGAGAAAGAAAUAUACACUAUUUCAGUCUUACCUAUAGAAACGGUUAUGGUUAAUGUAAUUGAUUACAGCGGUAUAUUUACGUAGGUAUUUUGCUUGUCGUGCGUGUGGUUUGGCGAGACUUUGUGUACCUUGGUGUGGCGUCGCGUAGUAAGUGUAUAGAAAAUACGUAAAAGGCAUCAUUAGAAUAUGAUUGAUAUUAAAUUGAUCGUUAAAUUCGUUUUAAUUUGAAUACAUAGUCGUUCCUGGUGAACCUUGUUACGAAAUACAAAAAUGUUGCUCACAAGAUAGUACAGUGGAAUGCUACUACCGCAAAACACUUCUGUCGAUCGACUAGAAUCGACCGUUCACUCGGCCAACAUAACCACCGAGAAGGCUACAACCACAGACGAGAUCUGCAACGAUGCAGAAAGGCGGAUUUCUAGGUCAUUCGGAUGCGGUUGCAUUGGGUGCUACAGUACGGAGCAUCGUGGAAACGUACCAAUGAACUCCACUGGAGCAGGAUGUCAGAAAUACAAAGAGUCAGGAGGGUCCCCCAGAACUGGCCUGCCCCACGAUCGACCGGCAAAACACGUCAGUUCUCGUGACCGCGAAACGCUGAUCGCGAGAUUUUCUUGCUCUCCAUUACCAACUGCUUCAUAGAGGCAA